rnacentral:miRNA from 1 species
GUAACUCCAUGAUCUCCUUACAG